GACGAACGCUGGCGGCGUGCCUAAUACAUGCAAGUAGAACGCAGUUGCGAACGGGUGAGUAACGCGUAGGUAACUGCCUGGUAGCGGGGGAUAACUAUUGGAGACAAUAGCUAAUACCGCAUACUAACAGAUGGACCUGCGUUGUAUUAGCUAGUUGGUGGGGUAACGGCUCACCAAGGCAACGAUACAUAGCCUACCGGGGAGGGUGUACGGGCAAACUGGGACCGAGACACGGCCCCGACCCCUACGGGAGGCAGCAGUAGGGAAUCUUCGGCAAUGGACGGAAGUCUGACUGAGCAACGCCGCGUGAGUGAAGAAGGUUUUCGGAUCGUAAAGCUCUGUUGUACGAGAAGCGGUAUCUUACCAGAAAGGGACGGCUAACUCCGUGCCAGCCGCCGCGGUAAUAC
rnacentral:rRNA from 1 species